AAGUCGUAACAAGGUCUCCGUUGGUGAACCAGCGGAGGGAUCAUUACCGAGUUAUACAACUCAUCAACCCUGUGAACAUACCUAAAACGUUGCUUCGGCGGGAACAGACGGCCCUGUAACAACGGGCCGCCCCCGCCAGAGGACCCCUAACUCUGUUUUUAUAAUGUUUUUCUGAGUAAACAAGCAAAUAAAUUAAAACUUUCAACAACGGAUCUCUUGGCUCUGGCAUCGAUGAAGAACGCAGCGAAAUGCGAUAAGUAAUGUGAAUUGCAGAAUUCAGUGAAUCAUCGAAUCUUUGAACGCACAUUGCGCCCGCCAGUAUUCUGGCGGGCAUGCCUGUUCGAGCGUCAUUACAACCCUCAGGCCCCCGGGCCUGGCGUUGGGGAUCGGCGGAAGCCCCCUGUGGGCACACGCCGUCCCUCAAAUACAGUGGCGGUCCCGCCGCAGCUUCCAUUGCGUAGUAGCUAACACCUCGCAACUGGAGAGCGGCGCGGCCAUGCCGUAAAACACCCAACUUCUGAAUGUUGACCUCGAAUCAGGUAGGAAUACCCGCUGAACUUAA
rnacentral:rRNA from 2 species